CCGGAAUCGAACCGGGGGCCCAUCGACGGCAACGAUGGAUUUUAC
rnacentral:tRNA from 1 species